GGCUCAGUCCAGCCUCUCAGAAUGAGGUUCCCUGCUCAGCUCCUUGGGCUGCUAAUGCUUUGGUUUCCUGGAUCCAGUGGGGAAAUCGUGAUGACACAGACCCCACUCUCCCUGCCCAUCACCCCCGGAGAGCCGGCCUCCAUCUCCUGCAGGGCCAGUCAGAGCCUCCUGCACAGUGAUGGAAAAACCUAUUUGGGUUGGUUCCGGCAGAAGCCAGGCCAGUCUCCACAGGGCCUGAUCUACUUGGUUUCCAACCGUUACUCCUGGGUCCCAGACAGGUUUAGUGGCAGCGGGUCAGGGACAGAUUUCACCCUGACAAUCAGCAGGGUGGAGGCUGACGAUGUGGGGGUUUAUUACUGUGUGCAAAAUCUACAGUCUCCUCCCACAGUGGUUCAGGCCCAAACACAAAACUCCUGCCUGGGGUCCUGGUUGCCCCAGUGAGCAGCUUCUCUGGGGAACUGACAGGAUGUUCUCUGAGUCUGUGUGAGGGGAAGGAGCUGGAGGCCCCGGGGGAGCCGCUUGCAGCUGGGUGUCUGGCUCCACAUGUUGAGGCUCUGACAGCUGCCCAGCCUGGUGUGUCAGAAGCCGCAGGGAAAUUAAGGGGUCCUGUCCCAUGAGGAGCCAGUUAUGGUGAAGAGAGGAGCUCCUGAGGGCUCCCCUAAUCCUCUGUGCUGUGCCCGUGUGUCUCAAGUAAACGCAGCCACUCUAGUAGACAGACAGGUGACAUAGAUCUGGGACAGAGAAGUGAAUACCUAUUGGAACUGACUGUGUGGGCUCUAUUUAACACGGGAUCAUUUGCUAAUAUUGGUAAUAUUGGUAUUUUCUCACCAUCUCCUUUCCUACUUGUCUACUACUUGCACUGUCUGUCUUUUAACAUGUCCAGAGAGUGAUCUGCA